GAUGAACGCUGGCGGCGUGCCUAAUACAUGCAAGUCGAGCGAACAGACGAGGAGCUUGCUCCUCUGACGUUAGCGGCGGACGGGUGAGUAACACGUGGAUAACCUACCUAUAAGACUGGGAUAACUUCGGGAAACCGGAGCUAAUACCGGAUAAUAUAUUGAACCGCAUGGUUCAAUAGUGAAAGACGGUUUUGCUGUCACUUAUAGAUGGAUCCGCGCCGCAUUAGCUAGUUGGUAAGGUAACGGCUUACCAAGGCAACGAUGCGUAGCCGACCUGAGAGGGUGAUAGGCCACACUGGAACUGAGCCACGGUCCAGACUCCUACGGGAGGCAGCAGUAGGGAAUCUUCCGCAAUGGGCGAAAGCAUGACGGAGCAACGCCGCGUGAGUGAUGAAGGUCUUCGGAUCGUAAAACUCUGUUAUUAGGGAAGAACAAAUGUGUAAGUAACUAUGCACGUAUUGACGGUACCUAAUCAGAAAGCCACGGCUAACUACGUG
rnacentral:rRNA from 1 species